CAGUCAUCAUCUCCAUCUAAAUUCGUUUCAAGAACGUGUUAUUGUACAAUAUCUACAGAAGUCAGAAUGGCUUCUCGAAGGAGUUGCAGCCCUCGAGAAGGGGAUAAUCUAAUCAAUAAGUCAUCCCUUCCCAUUCAUCAUGUUCUGCAGCUCUCUUGUAGAGAGCAACAGAUUGAAGGUGCUCUAACAGAGAUUGCUGUGUUUGUUCCUGAGGACGGCUGGAGAUAACUGGGGCAGCAGAUGAGACUGGUCCUGAUGGCCAGCUGCUGUUUUCAGGGGUGUGAAGAGUCAGAGCCAACACCACCUUAGCCCAGGCUCUGCUGCAGUGGUGAGGUGGGGUGAAGUUGGACGGUUCCUGUGCUCACCUGCAGACUCGUCUUCUUGGCCUCCCUGUCUGUGUCCAAUCAUCCCAGGGAGUGGACCCCUGUGCUCAUCAGAAUCAGUCCUAUAAGGUCCUGUCCAACCAGGGCAAAGGCACA